ACUCAAAUGAAUAGACGGGGACCCGCACAAGCAGUGGAGCAUGUGGUUUAAUUCGAUGCAACGCGAAGAACCUUACCCAGGCUUGACAUGCAGAUGACAACACCAGAGAUGGUGUGUCCCUUCGGGGCAUCUGCACAGGUGCUGCAUGGCUGUCGUCAGCUCGUGCCGUGAGGUGUUUGGUUAAGUCCAGCAACGAGCGCAACCCUUAUCAUUAGUUGCCAACACUUAGGGUGGGAACUCUAAUGAGACUGCCUGGGUUAACCAGGAGGAAGGUGAGGAUGACGUCAAGUCCGCAUGGCCCUUAUGUCUGGGGCUACACACGUGCUACAAUGGUCGGUACAGAAGGCAGCGAAACCGCAAGGCGGAGCAAAUCCCGAAAGCCGAUCUCAGUUCAGAUUGUAGUCUGCAACUCGACUACAUGAAGACGGAAUUGCUAGUAAUGGUGGGUCAGCAACACCACCGUGAAUACGUUCCCGGGUCUUGUACACACCGCCCGU
rnacentral:rRNA from 1 species